AGUAACGCGUGGGAAUCUACCGUACCCUACGGAAUAGCUCCGGGAAACUGGAAUUAAUACCGUAUACGCCCUUAGGGGGAAAGAUUUAUCGGGGUAUGAUGAGCCCGCGUUGGAUUAGCUAGUUGGUGGGGUAAAGGCCUACCAAGGCGACGAUCCAUAGCUGGUCUGAGAGGAUGAUCAGCCACAUUGGGACUGAGACACGGCCCAAACUCCUACGGGAGGCAGCAGUGGGGAAUAUUGGACAAUGGGCGCAAGCCUGAUCCAGCCAUGCCGCGUGAGUGAUGAAGGUCUUAGGAUUGUAAAGCUCUUUCACCGAUGAAGAUAAUGACGGUAGUCGGAGAAGAAGCCCCGGCUAACUUCGUGCCAGCAGCCGCGGUAAUACGAAGGGGGCUAGCGUUGUUCGGAAUUACUGGGCGUAAAGCGCACGUAGGCGGAUAAUUAAGUCAGGGGUGAAAUCCCGCA
rnacentral:rRNA from 1 species